rnacentral:lncRNA from 1 species
GUAGUUUAAUGUAAUGUUUAUUUGGAACUGUCAGUGUUGACUCAAAUUUGAUUGGCAAAUUAUACUAUUGAAUCAAAUUUGUAGUUAAUUGUAGUGUUUGUAGUUUAAUGUAGUUUAAUGUACUUUUUAUUUGGAACUGUGACUGUUGACUCAAAUUUGUAGUUAUCUAUAGUUUUUGUAGUUUAAUGUAGUUUACUGUAUUUUUUAUUUGGAACUGUGAUAAAAAUACAGUGAAUAAAAGUAGUUACAUUGUAUAUGCUCAAUAAUUCUCUAGUUACAGUAUAGUUGCUUGUAGUUAUAAUGUAG